AACGUAGGAGACAAACGUUAUCCGGAGUUACUGGGCGUAAAGGGCGCGUAGGCGGCUUAACAAGUCACUUGUGAAAUCUCCGGGCUUAACUCGGAACGGCCAAGUGAAACUGUCAAGCUAGAGUGCAGAAGGGGCAAUCGGAAUUCUUGGUGUAGCGGUGAAAUGCGUAGAUAUCAAGAGGAACACCUGAGGUGAAGACGGGUUGCUGGGCUGACACUGACGCUGAGGCGCGAAAGCCAGGGGAGCAAACGGG
rnacentral:rRNA from 1 species